UUGGUCCCUAAUUUUCUCGAGAUGUCCAUAACAAGUUAAAUCAGCCCUCUUCCCACCGUUGAGAUUCAAACUCACGUACGAUAUUGAAGAACUUUUUCUCUAGGCGAUCCCCAAUUCAGCUACUUGAGGGGUUAUAAUUACUUUGACGUUUCUUGUUUGAUUAACCCAUAAUUUGUUGUUAAAGCUUGUUGGAUUUAAAUUAUUUUGGCCAUACCCUAAAAUAUGGUUGGUCCUUGGUCCCCCUCAUAAAAGGUUACAAGAAUUUAAAGAGAAGUAGAGGAUGGAUUGAUGGUUGAGAGAAUCUAACAAUAACAACAACAAAUAGUAUUCUUAUUUAAUGGUUUUCCUUCUUUGCCUUAUCAAACCCCAUCUUCAAACUUCUCCUUUUAUUUUCCACCAAUAUC